ACGAGGCAUGGCGUCAACUCGGUAAUCAAGUUACUUUUUUGGAUUUAUAUAUUUUACAAUCAAGUUUCAUCUUCGAAGAUAUCGUAUAAAUUGCCGUCAGCGCCUUCACGUUGGGACUCACCUUUUGCUGUACUCCGUUAAGGAAUGGCGCGGGUAGAUAGGGAUAGAAGAGAUCCGGCCGUCGCUGGAGGAACUCCGAGUCCUUGGGAGUGAUGGGCAGAGGUGGCAGAUCCAACGACAUGCGUCGUCCUCGCCGCGAGGCCCCGUUGGUCCACAUAUGGGUUCCCAUGUGUACCUGCAUCGAAAUAACAAGAGAGAGAGCCAACAUCAGUUUGACGUCUGACUGAGAACGACGUGGAAAUCGUGAGACGAAUUCGAUUGCAAGAACAUGGGAUUAUGGGCACGAUGGAAAUCCCAUCUUUAUCUUUCUAUCUAUUUCCAUUUCCAUCUUCUACGUACA